rnacentral:rRNA from 1 species
CUUAACACAUGCAAGUCGAGGGGAAACGGCAUUAAGUGCUUGCACUUUUUGGACGUCGACCGGCGCACGGGUGAGUAACGCGUAUCCAACCUUCCCAUGACUAAGGGAUAACCUGCCGAAAGGCAGACUAAUACCUUAUGGUCUUCACUGACGGCAUCAGAUGUGAAGUAAAGAUUUAUCGGUUAUGGAUGGGGAUGCGUCUGAUUAGUUAGUUGGCGGGGUAACGGCCCACCAAGGCAACGAUCAGUAGGGGUUCUGAGAGGAAGGUCCCCCACAUUGGAACUGAGACACGGUCCAAACUCCUACGGGAGGCAGCAGUGAGGAAUAUUGGUCAAUGGGCGAGAGCCUGAACCAGCCAAGUAGCGUGCAGGAUGACGGCCCUAUGGGUUGUAAACUGCUUUUGUAUGGGGAUAAAGUCAAUCACGUGUGAUUGUUUGCAGGUACCAUACGAAUAAGGACCGGCUAAUUCCGUGCCAGCAGCCGCGGUAAUACGGAAGGUCCGGGCGUUAUCCGGAUUUAUUGGGUUUAAAGGGAGCGUAGGCUGGAGAUUAAGUGAGUUGUGAAAUGUAGACGCUCAACGUCUGACUUGCAGCGCAUACUGGUUUCCUUGAGUACGCACAACGUUGGCGGAAUUCGUCGUGUAGCGGUGAAAUGCUUAGAUAUGACGAAGAACUCCGAUUGCGAAGGCAGCUGACGGGAGCGCAACUGACGCUGAAGCUCGAAGGUGCGGGUAUCGAACAGGAUUAGAUACCCUGGUAGUCCGCACAGUAAACGAUGGAUGCCCGCUGUUGGUACCUGGUAUCAGCGGCUAAGCGAAAGCAUUAAGCAUCCCACCUGGGGAGUACGCCGGC